rnacentral:sRNA from 1 species
UUGUCGCGUCCGCUGUGCAUACGGUGCACAC